rnacentral:rRNA from 1 species
UACAGAGGUCUCAAGCGUUGUUCGGAUUUAUUGGGCGUAAAGGGUGCGUAGGUGGCGGGGUAAGUCAGGUGUGAAAUCUCGGAGCUCAACUCCGAAACUGCACUUGAUACUGCCUUGCUUGAGUACUGGAGAGGAGAUUGGAAUUUACGGUGUAGCAGUGAAAUGCGUAGAUAUCGUAAGGAAGACCAGUGGCGAAGGCGAAUCUCUGGACAGUUACUGACACUGAGGCACGAAGGCCAGGGGAGCAAACGGG